rnacentral:rRNA from 1 species
GACGAACGCUGGCGGCGUGCUUAACACAUGCAAGUCGAACGGUAAGGCCCUUCGGGGUACACGAGUGGCGAACGGGUGAGUAGCACGUGGGUGAUCUGCCCUGCACUUCGGGAUAAGCCUGGGAAACUGGGUCUAAUACCGGAUAGGACCACUGCUGCAUGGGUGGUGGUGGAAAGCUUUUGCGGUGUGGGAUGGGCCCGCGGCCUAUCAGCUUGUUGGUGGGGUGAUGGCCUACCAAGGCGACGACGGGUAGCCGGCCUGAGAGGGUGACCGGCCACACUGGGACUGAGAUACGGCCCAGGCUCCUACGGGAGGCAGCAGUGGGGAAUAUUGCACAAUGGGCGCAAGCCUGAUGCAGCGACGCCGCGUGAGGGAUGACGGCCUUCGGGUUGUAAACCUCUUUCAGCACCGACGAAGCGCAAGUGACGGUAGGUGCAGAAGAAGGACCGGCCAACUACGUGCCAGCAGCCGCAGUAA